GGAGACCGGAGAAGGAAGAGCAGCAAAGAGACGGCCGGCGCGCCUGCGCACUUACGGCGCGCUGGCGCGAGUCUGGCGUGUCGCGUCUGCGCGCUGUGGCUUUCCGGAACUUCCUGUCACCAGUCGCGUCAGAGAAGGAAGCGCAGACCGCUCUGGAAGGGAGAGAAGAGGGAGAGCAGCGUCAGCUUGAGGAGACGAGGAAAGAGCUGGUGCCCAGCCUCCAUGUCCCACCAGCACACAGGCCAGCUGACCUCAGCCUCUGCCUCACCCCGGGUACUUCAGUGUUCUUUCAUUUCACUCCCAAAUCUUGCUUUUCUUUUUGCUUAGCUCUACACGCAAAAUACUUCUGCCUCUCACGGCUCCUUCUUCAGAAUAUCUGGUCCGCACUGUGCCUCACACGCCUUGCCAGAGAAGCAGCGUCUGGGGCAGAGGGGCCUCAGCUGAGAUGCUCAGGUUGAAGCAGAGAGUCACAUUUUUUUAAAUUCCCCAUACAUGAUUUCAAAAGGAAAUACCUUCUUUGUUUUAAAAAGUGAAACAUUAGAGAGAACUGUAAUUUAGACAGAGGAGUCCUCCCCUGUAAGGCACAUCCUCAGAGAUGACCCCUGCCAGCAGUGCAGUUUCCGUUCUCCACGUCUGAGCAUACGUUAACAAAAAUAUACAUUUGAAAUAAAAAUAAAUGAAAUGGGG